UGUGGACAACAAAGAAUGAAUGUCACUUGCUCCCUCAGAGACCAGCCAGGAAGGAUGAAACGGCUUCACUUGACCCUGGGCCUCUUCGUGCUCAUAGCCUGCUUCUUGACAACUAGAACCCAAGAGGGACAAAAUGGGCUGAAAAACAAGACUACAGGUGAAUCCAUCUGCACUAGCAUCAUCUUCACUUCAAUAUGCACCAUCCUUGGGGAGAAGUCAGAUACGUAUUCAGCUAAAUUCACCUUCUCAACAAGGACCUAGGGGCUCUCGUGCCCAUUUAAAUCCCUCUGGCCCAAAGAGAUCUGCAAAGAUAAAAUCUAGUCAAACCUCUGCCUUACAACAACCCCAAAAUUAUCUGAAUUUAUCAGUUAAACCAAAAUCUAGCAUCACUGUAACAGAGGCAGGUAAACCCACUUCAAAAGUUAAUUAAAAGUAGUACACUCCUCACAGCUAACCACAUUCAUCCAAAAUCUGAUCAACCCAAAUUUCCUUCAUCUCAAAAUAACAUUCAACCCAAAACUUAUUAAAUAACCCAUAAACAUUUAGCCAAUCAAAAUCUUGGUCAAAAACAUAUGAACAAAAUAAAUGGACAAAAGAUCAGCAUGUUAUAAUGGGAAAUUACCUAAAUGGGACUAAAAAACAAACAUUAGGUACACAGAAAGCAACCAGUAAAUCAAAACUUCAAAAAAGUAAAACCAUAAAGCAACCACUCAGUAGUCAAAUGAAAACUCCUGUACAAAAACAAACUAACCAAAGUUAAUACAAUUUCAGUAAUUCUCAAACACAACAAACCCAUUUUCAAAGCCUAAGGCAAAAUCUAGUGGACAAAACUAAACUAAACAGAAAAAACAACAAACAAGUAAGCUGAGAGCUAAAAAUUUAGGCUGCACAAUCUACAACUUGGCCGAUUAAAACCUGACCCGAUACCUCUUGAACAAAAAAGUGGCCACAACCCCAAAAUUGUACAAAAUUAACAGCUCACAAAAAAUCUAGCAUUUCUAAAAUGACUUCAGUUAAAAUAUCUAAAAAAUUACCACAGAAAUCUAAAUCACCCACAAGUACUAUUAUUCAACAGACACAAGCCAAACUCAAACAUCUUUAUCUCCAAAUGCAAAAAACAAUAAUCAACAACAAGCAAAACUACAGAUAUUAAGCCAAAAGAAAAUAUCCAGCCAACCAAAACUCAAGAAGAAAACAAUUAUUUAACAGCAAUCACAUCAAAUAAAAAACUUCAUAUGACAGCAAAAUUAACAGAGAAAACAUCAUUUCAACACAACUGAAAAGAAAAAGAUUAGAUACUCUAAACUGAAAAUAAAAGCAAAUGAACAAAAAAGGUUAGUGAAAGCCAAGUAUGGAC
rnacentral:lncRNA from 1 species